rnacentral:rRNA from 1 species
GUGUCAGCAGCCGCGGUAAUACGGAGGGUGCAAGCGUUGUUCGGAAUUAUUGGGCGUAAAGAGCGUGUAGGCGGCCUGGUAAGUCAGGUGUGAAAUCCCUUGGCUUAACCAAGGAAGUGCAUUUGAAACUGUCAGGCUUGAGUACGGGAGGGGGAAGUGGAAUUCCCGGUGUAGAGGUGAAAUUCGUAGAUAUCGGGAGGAACACCGGUAGCGAAGGCGGCUUCCUGGACCGAUACUGACGCUGAGACGCGAAAGCGUGGGGAGCAAACAGGAUUAGAUACCCUGGUAGUCCACGCCGUAAACGUUGGGCACUAGGUAUUGCGGGUAUUGACCCCUGCAGUGCCGCAGCUAACGCAUUAAGUGCCCCGCCUGGGGAGUACGGUCGCAAGGCUAAAACUCAAAUGAAUUGACGGGG